CUGUGCGCCCCUCUCGCCCUCUCUCCCUCCCUUCCUCUCUCUUUUCCAAGUAAUCAGCACCACCUCUCAGCAAUCAGCCUUCAUCACCACCUGCAUACAAGCCUGCCAGAUCCAAGACUCCACUGCCAGAUACCCUUCGGUGUUCCCCGCCAUGCUGAACUCCUCCGCCAAGCUAUCCACCUGCUCACGCCACCGCCUGCUGCGCUUUCCCUGUUCCGACGACCUGCCAAUACGCCCCAGGGAUCCACCUUGAUAUCCUCUUCAAUAAACCUUUCACCGCAACCCUCUCAGCCUGUGUUUGCUUCUGGGUCCAGUUAAAACCUUAACGUGUUCAGAAUACUCUGGCCACCAUGGACUCAGGAACCCCGGAGGUGCUCAAGCACUCACCCUCCAAGCCGCCCACAUAGGUAAACAGGAUAAAAUUAUUCAAGAGAUCAUGGAAUGUUACACUCCCUCACGCAGCAAGUUUCCCUCCUUUCCUCAAGAAUGCAGUCCGACCGCCCUCCCGUAAGUCCUCCUUCCGAGCCCGCACCCGGCAAGCCAUCCCACUUCCCAUACAAAGAGCCUCACGUUCCUCCGCCCGAACCCUACUCAGGGGACUUAGGAGCUUGCAACCAAUUCCUCCUAAAUUGCUCUCUGGUCUUCAACUUAUAACUGUUAAGCUAUCCCACCGAACAAUCCAAAGUUGGUUUCGUCACCAACCUUUUACGCUGCAAAGCAGCUAAGUGGGCAACCGUGCUAUGGCAUAACUCUUCCCCUGUACUCACGUCAUUCCACUCCUUUUUCGCCAAAUUAAAGAAGGUUUUCGAUCACCCCAUCCAGGGCAGAGAAGCCAUCCGCCGUCUCCUUACACUCACUCUGGGCGCUAGUUCCGCUGCCACAUAUUCUGCGGAAUUCAGAAUACUUGCGGGUGAAUGCGAAUGCGGGUACAUGAGAAAUAUCAUGAUCUCUCCCCAGUUUUCAGCAAAGACCUGGCCAUUUCGUUAACUUCCCCACUCCCACCAACCGCAAAGAACUACGUUUCCUUGGAUUUGCCAACUUCUACCAUCACUUCAUCCGAAAUUACAGUAAAGUUGCAAUCCCUCUCACUAGCCUUACAUCCACCAGCUCUACGUUUCAAUGGACCCUGGCAGGAUCCCAAGCCUUCGACCAACUCAAGACACUUUUCACCAGUGCUCCCAUCCUCCGACAUCCCGACCCCUCCCUCCAGUUCGUGGUGGAGGUUGACAGGGGUGUUCUCUCACAGCGGGACCCCUCUCCCCAAAAACUUUAUGCCUGUGCUUUCUUUUCCUGUCGCCUAUCUUCCGCCGAACGGAACUACGACGUUGGCAACCGAGAGCUAUUGGCCAUCAUCUGGGUAUUAGAAGAGUGGAGGCACUGGCUGGAGGGGACUGAAUUACCGUUCAUUAUUUGAACUGAUCACAAGAAUCUUGCCUACCACUGUUCUGCCGAAUAUCUUAACCCCCGACAAGCUCGCUGGGCCCUUUUCUUGAGCCGAUUUAAUUUCAGCCUCUCCUUCCGACCUGGAUCCCGCAACAGCAAACCUGAUGCCCUGUCUCGCAUAUACUCACCCCUUUCCAACCCUGCAGAACACAAAACUAUCCUCCCCUCCUCCUGCUUCGUUGGGGCAGCCGCAGAUUGUCAAACACACUCAAGAGACUCACCCUGAUCCCAAGACCGGACCUCUGAACAGACUAUUCGUACCCGAUUCCGCACGCUCUGAUGGCCUUCAGUGGGCCCACAACUCCAAGCUCACCUGUCAUCCCGGCAUCACCCGCACCAUCAAUUUCAUCCAGAAACAUUUCUGGUGGCCCAGCCUGUUCAAAGACACCCGGGAAUUCGUCCAAGCCUGCUCCGUCUGUGCCCGACGGAAGACUUCACACCAGCCCCCAGCUGGUCUGCUUACCUUUGCCGAGCCGCCCUUGGUCCCACGUCGCCUUGGACUUCGUUACCGGCCUACCCCCUUCUGAAGAAUCCCCAUCGAUAUCGUCUCUGACCGAGGUCCUCAGUUCUCCUCCCUUGUCUGGUAGGAAUUCUGUAAAGCGGUGGGCACAGCAGCCAGCUUGUCUCCAGGAUACCAUCCACAGACCAACGGCCAGGCGGAGUGGCCCUUUAAUCGGCCCUUCGCUGCAUUGCCGCACGCGACCCCUCCUCCUGAAGCUCAUUCCUCCCGUGGAUUGAGUACACCCACAACUCCCUCACCAGCUCCGCUACCGGUAUGUCACCGUUCAUGGCUUGCUAUGGCUUCCAACCUCCAUUAUUUAGGGAACAAGAGCAGGCGGUGGCGGUUUCUACGGUAAAGGAUCACCUCACAAGGGUCCAGGAAGUGUGGAAAGACGUCUGGACGGCCUUAACUCGGUCCGCAGAACAAACGGUUCACGGACCUUCUUCGCUCUCCUACGCCUGAGUACAAGGUGUGUCAGUCCGUUUGGCUUUGCUCCCAUGACCUCCUACUCCAGGCAGAAUCCCCCAAACUCACUCCACGCUUCAUUGGUCCAUUCCCUAUGACGAAAAACAUCAAUCCCACGUCUGUUCAACUGAAACUUCCGCAAUCUCUAAAAAUUCACCCUACAUUCCAUGUGUCACUACUCAAGCCUGUCUCCACAUUUAUGCUCUUACAAGCAAUAGCUAAGUGGGAUCCCAAGGCUACUAUCUUUUCUGACUCCGGUCACUUUUGUAGUACAAUAUUUAUGGAUGUGCCAACAACAAAAGGAGAUGAGUUUUGAGAGUUGAUAAUCAAUAUUAUGCCAAAGUCUGGCAAGGCCCUGAAUUAAAAAGGUAACAAAAAAUCUGAGAGCAAAGUUAAUAUAUUAGUAUAAGUUGAACCAUUUUAGUUAGUUUUUAAUUCUCAAUGUUUUCUGUUCUGCUUGACACAGUACUGUACAGCAUUUUAAAUGUCUCUCGAUGAAAAGAAACAUAACCUGGAUACCUAAUCAUUUUACAAUACAUUCAGGAACAUGGUUGCCUCCUCUGCCUUUAAAAGCAAAUCUUUGGAAGUUUACAAAAAACAUUUUUGACUAGAUUUUGCUUUGUAAUUUCAGAUCUUCUAGUAAAUAACCUACAUUUGAGGUAAAUUAGUCAAAUAUUGUGAAGGACCCAUUUAAAUUGUGGCCUGUAGUUAGUGAAGGUAUUAUUAGUCAGAGAGGCAUUUGCAGCAGAAGUCAGUGUUAAAUCACUGAAAUGAUAUGAAAUGUGACGCAUGUCUCCUCAUGGCACCAUUUAGAGACCUCCCGCCGAGCUGAAUGCAAAUUAGCUUAUUCAUUUAACACAUUAUGGAUUCAUUCCAUUCAUAUACAUUCAAUGCCUAUGUUGUCUGAAUUUUGGUUGGAAAUGGUUUUGGACCGUAAGCCUUAGCUUUAAAGUGUCAAUAUGACGUAGGCCUGAUGCCCUCAAUUGUACAAAAUAAUAGGUUUAUGGUUUCCAGUGAAACAAUGGCAUACUUUACACUCCGAAUAGGCCAAUGUCAUGGAUUCCAAACCAUUUAUCAUGUGCAUGGGCUCAGGGGGCUGGGGAAAAUGCCUCUGCUAAUUUAUGAGGUAGAAUGUUACAAUUGUUCUGAUAAAUGACAGUUAGCGAACAAGCUUGUUUGCAGAGAGAGAAAAGGAAACAGAUGUCUUUUCAUGGUGAACUAUCCACAAUGAGUGUUUACAGUUGAUCUUCUGACCUCAGUUUUACCUCUGUUAUCCCUUAAAGGCAAAUGCUUUCCCAGAUGGUACGAUCAUAUCAUUGAAAAUGAUCACAGUUCAUUUUCUCCUCCGUGUGACUAUGUGACAGAAGAUAUUAAAUUAAAUCAGGCUGCCAUCUGGAAUUAUGGUCAAACUGACAAUUUCUACAAUGACAAAAAAAAAAAAAAAAAAAACACGACUACUAAUUUGCUACCAGUCACUGUACUAUAUAUUAAGGCAAAGUGUAAAAUAAAUUGAAGUGGCAUUUGACCAAUGCACUGAUCAAAUUGACCUAUUUCAGCCUGUUUCUUCGAGAUUGACUGAAAUAGUUUUGGAAUUGCCAUGACACACACUCUUAAUAGGCACAGAUUUGUGCUUAAUUCAUGUGUUUGAUGCACAAAUCUGUGAUUUACCAAUAUGGUCGUACUUCGUUUUGUUCGUACUCUUAGAACAUCCUCAGACAGUGCGUAAGCACAAAAAAUGAAGGAUCAGCGUUUGAAAAAAAUGUCAAAUACACAUCUUUUACCCAGGAUGCACAAUGUAUUGAUAGUACAGUCAUUCAUAAAACUAAUAAUAAUUGUAAUGAUAAUAACUUAUAUCGGGAAUUUGCUAAUGAGUUCACUAGUGUCCUAAAAGUGAAAAGGACACAUCAUUACUUUUACCUUUGUUCCGUUCAAGUGCUUGUAAGUGCUGUGUGUACGUGUAUCCGCCGCUGUCUGUGUUUUUGCAUUUGUCACGUAACGAGCAGAUUGCGCAAGUUCAUGCUUUGAUUGAGCACGCGCAAAAGCCAUCAAACUGCUCGCAUUAAUCCAAGGCCCCAGAGUUUUCAUAUCGAUCACAUACACAUGCAUGCUACAAAUCUGUUUCUGAACAUUUCCCGUAAUGUACAGUUGACAAACGACCGUCAAAACGAUCAGAGGCACACAUGCUCAUUCCAUAACUCUGAAUGGCAUGGAUUAUAUAUUUUCUUUUGCUUAAUGUCAUGAAUUUUAUCAACUACAAAUGCCUUUUUGUUGUGCUAUAUUUAUCCCUUACUAUCUAUUUUAACUUGUGUACUGUUUUUUCAUUCUUGGCUCUUAUUCUAUUUUUUCUCUCUCAGUGUUUUGUGUGCAGCAUUCUCUAAUUUAACUCUGGAAUUAAUU